CUGCGUAAUACCUUCUUUGAUGUUGAGGUGGUUAAGUGAACAUGUUACAUUUUUGAUGUGUUUCUAGUCAUGUUUUAAUGUGUUGUAUUCUGUUUAGACAAUCCCUGUGGAGCUGAUAGCUGUGGACUAAUGACUGGUAUACCAAGCAGAUAAGCUGUGGACAUUUUUCAGUGUUAACAUAAUGACUUUCAUCAAAGGAGGAAGAAGUCUACUUAUUUUUCAUUUUGUUAAGGUGAAAUCCUCAUAUUGUAUGGAUUGCUCAGACUUCACCAAAUUCCAUAGAACUAUGACAAGUAACAGCAGUUGAUGAUCUACCCAACAUGUGUACCAUGUUGGCCAACACAGCAAAAAUGUAAAUUCUGCCUU
rnacentral:lncRNA from 1 species